UACGUAGGGGGCAAGCGUUGUCCGGAAUUAUUGGGCGUAAAGAGCGUGUAGGCGGCCAGAAAAGUCCGCUGUGAAAACUCGAGGCUCAACUUCGAGCUGUCGGUGGAAACUUUCUGGCUAGAGUCCGGAAGAGGAGAGUGGAAUUCCUGGUGUAGCGGUGAAAUGCGCAGAUAUCGGGAGGAACACCUGUGGCGAAAGCGGCGCACUGGACCACAACUGACGCUGAGGCGCGAAAGCUAGGGGAGCAAACAGG
rnacentral:rRNA from 1 species